GGGGGGGGGGGGGGGGGGGGGGGGGGGGGGGGGGGGGGGGGGGGGGGGGCGCCUGCCGAGCCGGCAGCUCCCCUCAGCCCGCA
rnacentral:miRNA from 12 species